UACAGAGGGUGCAAGCGUUGUUCGGAAUCAUUGGGCGUAAAGCGCACGUAGGCGGCUUUUCAAGUCCCAUGUGAAAGCCCACGGCUUAACCGUGGAAGUGCAUGGGAAACUGGAAAGCUUGAGUACUUAAGAGGAUCGCGGAAUUCCCGGUGUAGAGGUGAAAUUCGUAGAUAUCGGGAGGAACACCGGUGGCGAAGGCGGCGACCUGGGUAGAUACUGACGCUGAGGUGCGAAGGCGUGGGGAGCAAACAGG
rnacentral:rRNA from 1 species